UAGGAGGCCCCCGGAGUGGUCAGAUUACAGAGACAGAAGAAAACCCAGCUGGUGCCUUAGAAGGACUUCCUCAGAGCCCACCAAGGCUGGGCUGAACAAGUCCCACCUCCUGGACCCAGAGAGGGGUUCCUCGACCCCCGAGACCCCGCCACCAAAGGCUAGCGUGUAACUGUAAUUAAGUUCCUACAUGACCAUUGCAGAGAAUCUGGAAAAGGACUGAAAAGAACUGAAAGAAACGAAGUCACCAGAAAUCCUUCCCUUUGGUGGAAAUGCCUUGGCCAGCUGCUCUGUGUGCAGGGAGGACAGUUUCUCUUCAUUUGCUACUUCACAUGCUUUGAUAAUCAUCAACGUCCCGGGUAAUUAGUUCAUUUGGAAUCAGGGAACUUGGCAAAUGGGAGGUGACCUCGGAGCUCCGAAGCCAGGGACUGACAUGCAAGCCAGAUCAUCCUGUAGAAAGAGGCUCAGCCCACACCCCAAAAUACCACUCCACUUCCACAGCCCCCUAAAGGCGCCUCCCAGCCUUAAAAAAUUUAUACGUAGACCCAGAAAUUUCACUAACGAGAGUCUCUCCUAAGGAAAGAAUUCUAAAUAUAGAAAAAAUGCUCCAGCACAAAGGGAUCAGAGCGGCUUUCUCUGGAAGAGUGGCUAAUUAGAGACAACCUAAUUGUCCAACGACGGGGGACCAGCGUCCGUGUGACAGCGAACCACAUCGUUAGCCUGACGAGCCGGGAAGGACACAGGAUCCUGUUAUCGUCAGGAUCCUGCUUUUCACUCACAAGUGGGAUGAGCGCAGCCAAAGGACAUUUUUUAAAAGCACGGAAUGGGGACUCCAAGGACAUUAACUAAAAUAUCAACAGAAGCUCGCGGCGCCUGCCGAAAAUGUGGGCCACUGCUCUUCCCCUUUGCUCUACUUCUCUGAAAUCAUCCGAUUUUCUGGGAUAAACAUACUAGAAAAGUUUACCUUGAAUUGAACUGGUUGUAUUCAGUAACUGGGGUGUCAAAGUAACCCAGUCCUUUGUGCGAGAGUGUGAGUGCGAGGGUACGUGCCCACAAUAGUAGUGUGAGGGUGUGAAUGGGAAUGUGUAAGCGCGUGGGUGUGAAGCAUGGCGGGGGGGGUGGGUGUGAGUGCUGGUGUGAACACAUGGAGUGUGACCGCUGGGGGUGCGGGCGUGCACCGUGACUAUGACGCAGGUAUGCGAGGGUAUGUGUGCAGCAAUGUGUGUGAGCGUGUGUGAACAUGUGUACAAUGUGGGGAUUAUCUGUGUGCGAGAGGCCGUGUGCGAGCCAGUGAGUGCGUGCUCGUGUGUGUGUGUGUGUGUGUGUGUGUGUAUGUCCGUGUGAAUCCGAGC